UUGUCUGCCCUAUGGGGGAAUUAAUGGCCGCGGUAUUUUAACCGUGCGAAGGUAGCAUAAUAAUUAGUCUAUUAAAUGUGGUCUGGAAUGAAAGGUGUGACGGGGGGUAGCUUUCUUAACUUUAUUGAUGAAUUUUAAUUGUCAGUAAAAAUGCUGAUAUGAAACAAAGGGACGAGAAGACCCUAUAGAGCUUUAUAUAAAUUUAGUACGGGUAGUGAAUUAUGCUAUAAUUAUAUUUUGUUGGGGCGACAACAAGUAGAAAACACUUGUGAAUUGGACUUAUUAAAAGGGUAUAUGAUCCAUUAUUAAUGAUUUGAGACUAAGUUACCUUAGGGAUAACAGCGUAAUUUUAUCUUAGAGUUCUUAUCGAUGAUGAAGGUUGCGACCUCGAUGUUGGAUUAGAAUUCCUUUAGGGCGCAGGAGUCUUAAAAGGUGGUCUGUUCGACUAUUAAAAUUCUACAUGAUCUGAGC
rnacentral:rRNA from 1 species